rnacentral:rRNA from 1 species
GUGCCAGCAGCCGCGGUAAUACGUAGGGUGCAGGCGUUAAUCGGAAUUACUGGGCGUAAAGCGUGCGCAGGCGGUUUCUUAAGUCAGAUGUGAAAGCCCCGGGCUUAACCUGGGAACUGCGUUUGAAACUGGGAGACUUGAGUGUGGCAGAGGGGGGUGGAAUUCCACGUGUAGCAGUGAAAUGCGUAGAUAUGUGGAGGAACACCGAUGGCGAAGGCAGCCCCCUGGGUUAACACUGACGCUCAUGCACGAAAGCGUGGGGAGCAAACAGGAUUAGAUACCCUGGUAGUCC